AUUGAACGCUGGCGGCAUGCCUUACACAUGCAAGUCGAACGGCAGCACGGGGCAACCUGGUGGCGAGUGGCGAACGGGUGAGUAAUGCAUCGGAACGUACCUUUCAGUGGGGGAUAACGUAGCGAAAGUUACGCUAAUACCGCAUAUUCUGUGAGCAGGAAAGCAGGGGAUCGCAAGACCCUGCGCUGAUUGAGCGGCCGAUGUCAGAUUAGCUAGUUGGUGAGGGAAAGGCUCACCAAUGCGACGAUCUGUAGCGGGUCUGAGAGGAGGAUCCGCCACACUGGAAGUGAGACACGGUCCAGACUCCUACGGGAGGCAGCAGUGGUGAAUUUUGGACAAUGGGGGCAACCGUGAUCCAGCCAUGCCGCGUGAGUGAAGAAGGCCUUCGGGUUGUAAAGCUCUUUCGGCCGGGAAGAAAUCGCACGGGCUAAUACCCUGUGUGGAUGACGGUACCGGAAUAAGAAGCACCGGCUAACUACGUGCCAGCAGCCGCGGUAA
rnacentral:rRNA from 1 species